AUGUCGGCCCAGAUUUUGGCCCCGUCCACCAUCAUGACAGAUUCGGAGGUCGGACACGGUUUCUUUUCACUCGGUCGAACCAACCUUGCCCGUCUCUCUCUCUCCCCUCCCCCCUUCCUCCCAGAAUUCACCCGGCGGACCCAGCAAUCAGUCUGCGCAUCCCCCUCUCCCCCCCACGCGAAGCAAGAGCAGCGCGCCGACGCGGACGCGGACGCCGGCCGGCGAGACUGCUUUUGCGCGAUGAGCUGGAGAAUUCCUCUUUUCGGCUCUCAGCAGCAACAGCAGCAGCAGCAGCAACCUGAACCAAAUUUCCAGAACAUAUCUACGCAAUCUUGGUACCCUCCCUCGGUAGGUGGUUCAUCUUCACAUCCAUCCACACCCAGCUCUUCCGGUGCUAGUCCACACCAAAGAGCUUCAGAUCAUCCUCAGCCUUCAUCACGUGGCCAACCGUCUCCAGCUGAAGCUGCAGGGAUAAUUGCUCGUUUGAGGGAUAAGAGUGUUGAUGAGCUGCAGAGGCUGUUAAAGGACAAAGAGUCAUAUAAUGCUUUUUUCAAUUCACUUGACCAAGUUAAAACACAGAACAAUUUACGCGAUGAGCUUAGAAAGGAGACCCUGCAGCUUGCGAGAGAAAAUUUAGAAAAGGAGCAGCGGAUUUCAGAGCUCAGGAAUCAGUGUACUAUAAUCAGAACCACAGAACUAGCUGCCGCUGAGGACAGGUUGGCCGAGUUGGAAAGGCAAAAGGACGAGAUUAUGAAGUCCUAUUCUCCUGCUGCGCUGCUCAACAAGCUGCAAAGUACAAUGGCGAAGCUGGACGAGGAGUCAGAGGAGCUGCACCAAAAGUUCCUGGAGAAGGAUGUCGACCUGCCAACCUUCGUGCAGAAGUACAAGAAGCUCCGCGCUGCGCACCACAAGUGUGCGCUGCUCCACCUCUCCGGCAAGGCCUCGCUUCGCUGA
rnacentral:rRNA from 1 species